rnacentral:piRNA from 1 species
GUCGCAAAAACAUGGCUCGCACCAAGC